GGUUUGAUUCUGGCUCAGAUUGAACGCUGGCGGGAUGCUUUACACAUGCAAGUCGAACGGCGGCACGGACUUCGGUCUGGUGGCGAGUGGCGAACGGGUGAGUAAUGUAUCGGAACGUGCCUAGUAGCGGGGGAUAACUACGCGAAAGCGUAGCUAAUACCGCAUACGCCCUUCCAGGAAAGCGGGGGAUCCUUCGGGCCUCGCGCUAGCCGACAGCCGAUAUCGGAUUAGCUAGUUGGUGGGGUAACGGCUCACCAAGGCGACGAUCCGUAGCUGGUUUGAGAGGACGACCAGCCACGCAGGACUGAGACACGGCCCAGACUCCUGCAGGAGGCAGCAGUGGGGAAUUUUUGGACAAUGGAAACCCUGAUCCAGCCAUCCCGCGUGUGCGUGAAGGCCUUCGGGUUGUAAAGCACUUUUUGGCAGGAAAAGAAACGGCGGGAUAAUACCCGUGCAACUGACGGCCUGCAGAAUAAGCACCGGCUAACUACGUGCCAGCAGCCGCGGUAAUACGUAGGGUGCAAGCGUUAAUCGGAAUUACUGGGCGUAAAGCGUGCGCAGGCGGUUCGGAAAAGAUGUGAAAUCCAGAGCUUAACUUUGGAACUGCAUUUUUAACUACCGAGCCAGUGUGUCAGAGAGGUGGAAUUCCGCGAUGUAGCAGUGAAAUGCGUAGAUAUGCGGAGGAACACCGAUGGCGAAGGCAGCCUCCUGGGAUAGCAUGACGCUCAUGCACGAAAAGCGUGGGGAGCAUUAGGAUUAGAUACCCUGGUAGUCCACUUCUAAACGAUGUCAACUAGCUGUUGAGACGCUGGACCUUGGUAGCGCAAUAACGUGAAGUUGACCGCCUGGAAGAAUACGGUCGCAAAGAUUAAAACUCCGGAGAUGACGGGGACCCGCACGAAGCGGUGGAUGAUGUGGAUUAAUUCGAUGCAACGCGAAAAACCUUACCUACCCUUGACAUGUCUGGAAUCCCGAAGAGAUUUGGGAGUGCGCAAGAGAACCGGAACACAGGUGCUGCCGAAACAUCGAUGGCUGUCGUGAGAUGUUGGGUUAAGUCCCGCAACAGGCGCAGCACGUAAUCGUUAGUUGCUACGAAGGGCACUCUAAUGAGACUGCCGGUGACAAGCCGGAGGAAGGUGGGGAUGACGUCAAGUCCUCAUGGCCCGCUAUGGGUGAGACUUCACACACGUCAUGCAAUGGUCAGGACAGAGGGUCGCCAACCCGCGAGGGCCAAUCCCAGAAACCCGAUCGUAGUCCGGAUCGCAGUCUGCAACUCGACUGCGUGAAGUCGGAGAAUCGCUGGUAAUCGCGGAUCAGCAUCUUCUUUGUUGAUACGUUCCAGGUCUGUACACACCGCCCGUCACACCAUGGGAGUGGGUUUUACCAGAAGUAGUUAGCCUAACCGUAAGGAGGGCGAUUACACGGUAGGAUUAACAGCUAGGGUGAAGUCGUAACAAGGUAA
rnacentral:rRNA from 1 species